rnacentral:rRNA from 1 species
CCUUGAUUUACUGGGUGUAAAGGGCGUGUAGGCGGUUCUGCAAGUCAGAUGUGAAAUUUUCGGGCUUAACCCGGAAGCUGCAUCUGAAACUGCAGAACUUGAGUACUGGAGAGGAUAGCGGAAUUCCUAUUGUAGCGGUAAAAUGCGUAGAUAUUAGGAGGAACACCAAUGGCGAAGGCGACUAUCUGGACAGGAACUGACGCUGAGGCGCGAAAGCGUGGGGAGCAAAGAGGAUUAGAUACCCUGGUACUCCACGCCGUAAACUAUGAAUACUAGGUGUAGGGGGUAUCGACUCCCCCUGUGCCUUGACUAACGCAAUACCUAUUCCACCUGGGGAGUACGGCCGCAAGGUUGAAACUCAAAGGAAUUGACGGGGGCCCGCACAAGCAGUGGAUUAUGUGUUUUAAUUUUAAGCCACGAUAACAACCUUACCAGGGCUUGACAUCCUCUGACCGCCGUAUAUAUGUGGCUUCCCUUCAGGGCAUAGAGACGGGGGGCGCAUGAUUGUCCGCCGCGCGUGUGGUGAUAUGGUGGGUUAUAUCCAACAACGAGCACACACUCUUGUGUCUGUUGCCCUCCUAUAUUUGUGAAUUUUGGCGAGACUGCCGUGCUCACCACGGAGGAGAGUGGGGACGACGUCUACUCCUCAUGCGCCUUGUGUCCUGCCCUCACCACGUAUUAUUUUGUAACGACAGGGGGCAACUACCCCGCGAGCGAGAGUGAUUUCCUAACCUUUGUUUCACUUCGGAUUGUACGGUGCAAAUCGCCUGCAUCAACUCUGAAGUGCGAUCUAUAGCAAAUUAAC